AUUGAACGCUGGCGGCAGGCCUAACACAUGCAAGUCGAACGAGUGGCGGACGGGUGAGUAAUGUCUGGGCAACCGCCUGAUGGAGGGGGAUAAAUACUGGAAACGGUAGCUAAUACCGCAUACCAUCUUAUGUGCCCAGAUGGGAUUAGCUUGUUGGUGGGGUAACGGCUCACCAAGGCGACGAUCGCUAGCUGGUCUGAGAGGAUGACCGGCCACACUGGAACGGAGAAACGGUCCAGACUCCUACGGGAGGCAGCAGUGGGGAUUAUUGCACAAUGGGCGCAAGCCGGAUGCAGCCAUGCGGCGUGUAUGAAGAAGGCCUUCGGUUUGUAAAGUACGUUCAGCGGGGAGGCGUUACCCGCAGAAGAAGCAACGGCUAACUCCGUGCCAGCAGCCGCGGUAAUAC
rnacentral:rRNA from 1 species